UACCAUGCAGCAGCCAAACAAUGUUAUAGCUGAACAUUGUGCAACUUUAAACAAGUAUGUUCUCUAAUAGAUCAGCGACGUAAUAACGAAACAACAUUAACCGGGACGAUGUUAAGUGAGGAGUACCUGUAUUUACUUCUCCUGU